rnacentral:sRNA from 1 species
UGCUGGUCUCUGUCUGCUUUUACGCAU